CAAAAGCGCGAGCAUCAGUGCGGCCCCAGUGCAAGAAACUGUGCACCCGAAGAAGCAAAACUGACCAUAGCGAGGAAUGGUGAGCCAAAGAUGUACUUGGGGUCCAGUGACUGAAUCUGAUCCUGGGUGCACAAGUGAACUCGUUCCCAGCGGAACUUCCACCUCACGCCGAUCGCUUAAAAAGGACAGUAUGCAGGUGACUGAAUCUGAACCCAGCGGGGCUCGCCCAAGUACUGAUCCUGAGGACACAAGUAGACUCGUACCCACUGGGGCUCCCAUUUCAUGC